rnacentral:rRNA from 1 species
UUGGAGGGCAAGUCUGGUGCCAGCAGCCGCGGUAAUUCCAGCUCCAAUAGCGUAUAUUAAAGUUGUUGCAGUUAAAAAGCUCGUAGUUGAAUUUCGGGGUCAGUAGGUUGGUCAUGCCACUGGUAUGUACUGGUCUCACUGAUUCCUCCUUCCUGAUGAACUGUAAUGCCAUUAAUUUGGUGUUGCAGGGAAUCUGGACUGUUACUUUGAAAAAAUUAGAGUGUUUAAAGCGGGCUAUUGCUUGAAUAGAUUAGCAUGGAAUAAUAGAAUCGGACGUUGUGGUUCUAUUUUGUUGGUUUCUAGGACCACCGUAAUGAUUAAUAGGGAUAGUUGGGGGCAUUAGUAUUCAAUUGUCAGAGGUGAAAUUCUUGGAUUUAUUGAAGACUAACUAUUGCGAAAGCAUUUGCCAAGGAUGUUUUCAUUAAUCAAGAACGAAAGUUAGGGGAUCGAAGACGAUCAGAUACCGUCGUAGUCUUAACCAUAAACUAUGCCGACUAGGAAUCGGGCGACGUUAUUUUCAUGACUCGCUCGGCGCCUUACGGGAAAC